rnacentral:rRNA from 1 species
AUUGCCUUUGAGUGUUUUCAUGCAAUAAAACAGGAAAAGGAUCCAGAGCGGAGUUUUUGUGCGUACAAGUUGGACUUAUCGAAGGCAUAUGACAGAGUGGACUGGGUGUUCUUGGAGCGAAUGAUGCAACAGUUGGGUUUCUCUCAUCGGUGGGUGUCGUGGAUAAUGGAGUGUGUCACCUCGGUGAGAUAUAAUGUGAAAAUCAAUGGAGCCCUCUCGGAUUCGUUUGCGCCAUCCUGUGGGUUACGACAGGGAGACCCCAUCUCGCCUUUCCUAUUCCUUUUUGUCGCUGAUGGUUUGGAUGCUUUACUGAAACAGGAGAUUGAAGCUACC